CAGAGAGAGAGAAAGAGACAGAUAAAGAGAUAAAGAAGAAAAGAAAGAGAGAUCACAAAGAGAAUCACAACUUUUACCUCGGGACUAAACCGACCAGCUUUUCUCUCGGGGGAAUUGUUCUCUGGAUUAUUAUUUCACGACCCUCUGUGCUGAAACGGGAUUUGACUGAAUUCGAAAAAAGUUCCUUUUAUCUCUUUAAUUUAUGGGACUGCCAUCGCCGAAGCAUCACCUUUGACCUCCACUUAAAUGCAGGCGACUGGAGACAAUUUCACAUCAAGAAGGCCAACUGCUGGGACAACUAUGCAGUAGCUCACAGAGAAUAACUACAAGUCAUCUACACCCAUGUUGUUUCAAAUCUGCAUUUAAAGGGUACCUGAAAACGGAGCAGCAUGGAGGUGCUGAGUGGCCCCUGGGCCGACCUGGCCCUGCUCUUGCGACAGACCAUCGCACAGACGGACAAAGAGACAGACGGCUUUCUUCCUCUCUGGCUCUUCGGUCUGCUGCUGUUCCUGUCCGUCUGUCUGCUGCUGCUGCAGCUGAUUAUCUAUCUCAGCUGGAAACUCAGACAGGUCGAGGCGGAUCUCUCCGCGAUUCCACAGGACAGGAGCGCCAUCAACAGGCAGAUCUACGGAAGUGCACACCUGAGGAGGAGGAGCGUUGGCUCACAUUCACACACUUGACAGGACAAACUUAUUUAACACUUAUUUUGUAUCAUUAAAACCUGCUGAAGUCUGUAUGGGCAACAGUCCGAUGCUUUAGAUGAUCAGUGACAACUGCUGUUGUACCACUUGACACACUCAGGGAAACCUGGAAGUCAUCCAAACAGCUGUCUCUAAACUUAAACAGUUACUGCAUGAAGAAAAAAACACCUAUAUAUCUCUGACAUCUUUGUGUAGUAUCUUUUACAGUGUAUUUAUGAUUGUCAUAGUAUUAGAACAUUACUUUUGUUGCACCGAACACUGUCCACAUCUUUAGACUGCCUGAAGUGAAAGCACAGUUCAACUCACGCACAUUAACAUACCAGAUUUGUUUUGAAUUACAUAAAGCAUUGGAAAGAAUGAGAAACUGAAAUGACCAAUCGGAGUAUAACAAUCCUUUAUUUCAAACAGUGUUACACGGGGGGUGGGGAGUGGCUGUGUGGGGGGACACCAGACAAAUAAGCUGCUAGAUAGAGAAACCCUACCAGUGAUCAUUGGUUGUGCUAUGAGAGAGCAACGAGGGGAGCUUGGUUGGUUUUCCAAACUUUGUUUCCAUACAAAGUUUUGUUGAAAGUGAGUUUUUUUUUAUGUGGUUAAAAUACAAAAUGAUGCUGGUUUUAA